rnacentral:lncRNA from 1 species
CACGGGAGUUCCGCAGCCGCCGCCUUACCGGAACCCAAGAGACCACCUGUACGCGGAGAACGCUGGGGCGCGGCGGGUCGGCCCCUGACGCCAUAAGCUGCGAUGGAACCUAACCUCUGUGCCCCUUCAAUGUGGAACAUGUGGUCAUCAAAGAAGAUGUGGGGCCGGAUCUUCACCAAGAUGGGACUUUUGGGGGCUCCAGCAAGGAAAAGAGCUUCGUCUAUCUCUAGACCCCAGCGUCGAAGGGUCUUCAGCACACGGGCGCCUGAACUGGCUGCACUCCUAGCUGUAACCAGGCUCAUCUAUGGAUGGAGCCUUGGUGGAUGGGCUCCGGGAUAUUCUAGACCAUUGACUGCGCACAAGGUACCCUCGAGAGUCUGUCUUCCGCAGUGAUGAUUCUUGUGAUCCCUGUGAUGGAAAGAAGAAACCCAACGGUGUAAAACCCCAUCACCAACUCCUUCUAUACGUGUGCCUGCAGAAUAGUCAUGUCAGGCUGAAUAUAGCAGCACCCAGUGAGAAGAUCCCUGGCCUCAAUGACUCUUAACUCAACCUGAACUCUUCUGUACUAUUCUAACUCUGGUCUAGUCCUCACUUCUGUUUGGAGCAUCUAUGUGGGGGUCCACUUGAAAGAGCAUCCAAAACCAAGAUGCAAACAUAUUUUUUCACUGUGACUCCUCUUAUGUGGAUAUUAGUAUGGUUCACCAUUGUUCCUCCCUUUUCCUCACUUCUUCCCUCGAGGAUAAGCCUGUUAACAGAUGCUGAAACAAUAUAUCCACCAUUUUUUACCAGACUGUAAAGGUGAGGGCAACUGGUGCCCCACUGAGGUUGCAGGGGGACUCUAAGGCAGCUGCUGAAAAGGAAUGGAGCCCUCAAGCUUUUCUUUUAGGAGAAACAAGAAUGAAGGACCCCCCGGAACAGCAAAGUAAAAGAGUUUCUAUUUGCCAUAUUCUUCCCCUCACCCAGGUUGUCUGUGGUUCCCCUCCAGAAUCGGUAGUGUGAUCUCUGCUCACCCUCAUCAUGGUGAUCUGCUGGCCCUGCUCCCACAACAGGCACAUGUGAAUAUAAAUACGUAUUGUGUGGCAGGGGCCAAGGGCUGUUCCCUCAGCUGCACAAAGGCAGCGUCUACACGACGAGUGACCCUGGAAGGGGCAACAUCUCAGCGAGUGAUUCGGAUUGACUGCACGCCUCAUCUGAAAGAUUGUGCAGAAAGUGGUCAAUGCCAUGGCCAGACCCCCUCCCCUCCCUGAUUUGAACAAAGACCAGUCUCCCCCCUGUGUAGGCUGAGCAGAGGAGCCUGCUGUGGUUCCACACAUUCGAAGUGAACACUAGGGUAUGGAUGGAGGGGAAGGCAGGGCCCAACCUUUCCUAGUUCCUUAACCUUCUCAUGAGGACAUUAGGGACGCCUUAAUACAAUUCUCAACAGCUUGGUCUUCUCUCCCAGAACUCCCUGCCCCCUAACAUUUUCCAUUAUGCUUUCUGCUCCUUAAUUUCCUCACCUCUGCUACAGAGAUCAGCUCACCUGAUUGCUCAGACGAACUCCUGUUUUGUCAGAUUCCUUUCUUUUUUCUGCUUCUAGACUCUCUUUUGAGGACCUCAUUCCAGGCUCAUUCUUGACAAGGAAACAAAGAAUGUUUAUUAAUUUUUAAUCUCAGGGCAUUAGGAACUUUGGCUUUCAGAAUAAAAGGAUAAAGAAAACACAAAAUUUAUUUAUUUGCCAAUAUAAAAAGGUAUAAACUCUAGACCUUAGUUUCCCCUGUUCUAACAAGCAUGAGUAAAAGGUAACACAUAUUUUAUUAAAAAGAAUUAUAUAAACAAGUUUUAAUAUAGAAAUUUGUUGGUUCAUAGAUUUGAGAUAUAAAGCAUUUAUUGUUUAAAGACUGAUAACAUGGGAAAUAUUAGAGAAUUGUGAAGUUGUUUAUGUAGAAUAAGUUUGUUUUUUUUUCUAUUACUCUGAAGAUUGCUACUUAUGGAACUUACUUUUCCUUGCCAUUUAGAAUUCAAUUUUUUCUUGUUUUCAUCAUCACUACAGCUCAAACUUUUUGUGGCUCUAGCCUCACCAAUAUUAGUUUGAUUUCUAAAUAUAAGGACCUUAAUCUCAUACAAAUUUAUUGAAAGUCAUGUCUUCUGUUCCUAUCAUUUAAUUACUCAUAGAUCUAGAGUGGAAAGGGAUUUCUUACCAACAAAUUAACAACAGAUAGGGAAAACCAAGUAAAAGAGCACAAGAAGAUGACUCACUUUAUGGAACUCUACUCAAAUAUUUAUGUUUUCAUUUUCAUUUGGAGGAGAUACUUAUUGGAAUAUUAUUUGAACUGUUUCAUGCUAAGUAAGUAGCUGCAAUGUGAUCAAGAUUAGUGUUAUUUAUAUGUUUAAGGAGCACAACUUCUAAGUUAGACCAAGAUCCACUAGAGCAGUCUAUAUUCAUCCGUUUAUGCUCUGUGUCUUGCAUGCAGGAAAAAUCUCAUCAAUGUUAGUUGCAUGAGAAUGUUAGUUGCAUGAGAGAAUGGCAUAGCUGUAUGACUCCUGAACUAAUUUUAAAAUCUUUUCAUCAACCCUCACUCACCUUAUACACAUACAUAGCAGUCACCAUAAUACCUCUUACUUCUAAUUCCAAAUGAUAUUUUGAAUCCAGUUCCUUUUUUCUAUCUCUAUUAUCAUUGCCUUGUUCCAGGUCUCUGACCAUCCUGGGACUACAUUUUCAGAAUAUAGCCUUUCAAACAGGUUUCAUGGCCUUAAAUCCUCUCCACUUCUAGAUCUGUCCACCGUAUUUAUUUAGAGUAAUAUUUACAAGAUGUAAAUCUAGUAAUGCUUCAUUCCUGGAUAAACACUUUCUUCACUUGGUUUGACCAGGAGCCUCAUGAUGUUUUCCUGUGUACCUGCUACUUGCAUGCCCUUCACUCUAUACUUUAUCACUAUGUUCUACUAAUACCAAGUGACUUGUAUUUGCCUGCAUACACCAGCCUUAUUUCCUUAUGGUCUCCUCUUCUCUCCUGUGUUCUUCGAAACCCAGCUCAGUGUGACCUGGGGGAAGUUCCCAGAGUGAAAUAUUGCCCUGUGUUCCUUGUGUCUUUUGUACAUACUUUUAUGGAGCAAUGAGUUGUCCUUUGUCUAUUGUCUUUCCUACUAGGCCAUGCAUUCUUCAAAGACAGCCACUGUUUUUACCUUUUACUACUAACAUAUGAGUAUAUGCUAAAUGAAUACUGACUUAUUGGAAUCAUUUAUAUACUACACGUUUUUUAAUCUCUUUCUUUGCUGUCUUAAUUUCUUUUAAAUUUCUCCUUCUUCCCUUUUCUGUACUCUUUCCAUUGCCUUUAUUCUCUCCCUUCUCUUUUCCUCUACCUGAAGCCAUUAUCUGAAAUUAUUUGAUCAUUGCAGAGCCUUUGCAGAGGCAAAUGAUGGACUGAUAUCCACAUUUCUUCAGCCCCAUGGCAAGAUUCUAAGACACUCGGUUCACUCACCUUUUUCUGUUUGAGAGAUGUUUGACUCAUUUUUUUACCUGUUGAAAUUCUUUUGUUGUUAUCCACAUUUUUGUCUCCCCAGCUCCAUUUCCUGUCACUUCCCUUGCUCAGUCUAGCUUUGCAUUUAGAAUGUCAAAUUUAUGACAUCAUAUGUGAUUCCAUAGUAACAAACUGACUCUAUGAAUAUGUGAUUAACCUUUUCUUAAAAAACAAAAAAUAAAUGUUUCUUCAUUUUGAGUGUAUCUGCUCAUAGCCAUUGUCUUUGUUUUCAGAAAUUGAUGUCUAAACAUUGUUCAAAUGUUCAAUAUGUAGCAAUAUCAAUAUUACCACUUCCUUUUUAAAUCUUUUUAAGCAUUUCUCUGCCAUUCAUUAUAUUAAUCCCAUUUGUGACUGUCUGUUUCCUGGUACUGCCAAAAUGAAUGGCAAAGUCAUUUGUGGAUCCAAUCAUUUAUCCAUGUUCAUUCUGCCAGACAGACUUUGGAGGGCUUUUCUCAGAUCUAGAGACUAUUUUUGACAGCUGGGAUUUUGUUCCAGACAUGGAGUUUAGACUUGAGUUUGAGUUUAGCUUUAAUGUCUCAUGUUUCUUUCAAUGGCAAAACCUGUUGAGGAAGACACUGUCAAAGCCCCUUCCCCAUGGCUAGACUCAGUGUAGAAUGUUACCUUUGCUGCCCCAUCCUUAACCCUUAACCCUGGGCUGCCCCAUCCUUAACCCUUUAAACACUAAAGCUAAACUCAAACUCAAGUCUAAACUCCAUGUCUAGAACAAAAUCUCAGCUGUCAAAAAUAGUUUCCAGAUCUGAGGAAAGCCCCCCAAAGUCUGGGAGAGUGAACAUGGAUAAAUGAUUGGGUCCACAAAUGAGUUUGUGAUUCAUUUUGGCAAGUAACAGGAAACAUACAGUUACAAAUAGAAUUGAUAUUUGUAAAAAGUAGCCCCUAACUCUGGUUUACAGAAUCUAAACAUGUUCUCCAUUUUAGUUUUCUCCUUUUAUCUUCACCCAAGCUUUAGAUAGGAGACAUGUGCCAUGCCAACCUGAGCUGGUGAAAUCAUCAAGGACUGAGGCAGGUUUCCAGCCUGUUUUCAUGGGACAAGUUGAUAGCUAAGGUUGAAUAUCGGAAGUUGUUGAUGGUUUUAAUUUAAGUUAUCCAAGGAGUCUUUUAGUUAGUAAAACAUUCAGGCUGUAGGUAAGAGUGCCUGGGUUUAAGUUAUUUCAUCUCUCCCCUACUCCCCACUGUACACCCAACCCCCAGCAUUCUACCCAAAAUUUGUACAGGGGUCAUUUGUUUUUGCAUGGUUAUGAUGUUAUUGUGUAAUAUUUGUAUAAGUUAUGUAGACAAUCAAAGUUGUAAGUGCUAUACGUUUCAGAGUAACUUCAGAGAACCUUACCUUUUCUAUUAAAA